rnacentral:tRNA from 1 species
GAAGCGGUAGAUUAAUUAAAAUUGUAGGACUUUUGAUCUUGAGAUGGGUUUCCUCGUUUCA